rnacentral:snRNA from 1 species
AUGCUUUUGCAGCACAUAUACUAAAAUUGGAAUGAUAUAGAGAAGAUUAGCAUGACCCCUGCGCAAGGAUGACAUGCAAAUUCGUGAAGCCUUACAUAUUUUU